UAAGUAUUAAAUACCCUGCUUCGUAUAUCCUCAGCAAUACGGCCUGAGGGUCUCUACCAGGCAACCGCAAAUUGCCCGGCUACGAAGUUAUUCCUUCGUUGC
rnacentral:ncRNA from 1 species